rnacentral:tRNA from 1 species
GCCCUAGUAGCUUAAAUUAAAGCAUUGUUUUUGUAAACCAAAGCUGGACCACAACCCCUAGAGCA